rnacentral:rRNA from 1 species
GACGAACGCUGGCGGCGCGCCUAACACAUGCAGGUCGAACGAGCGAGCGAGAGCUUGCUUUCUCGAGCGAGUGGCGAACGGGUGAGUAACGCGUGAGGAACCUGCCUCAAAGAGGGGGACAACAGUUGGAAACGACUGCUAAUACCGCAUAAGCCCACGACCCGGCAUCGGGUAGAGGGAAAAGGAGCAAUCCGCUUUGAGAUGGCCUCGCGUCCGAUUAGCUAGUUGGUGAGGUAACGGCCCACCAAGGCGACGAUCGGUAGCCGGACUGAGAGGGUGAACGGCCACAGUGGGACUGAGACACGGCCCAGACUCCUACGGGAGGCAGCAGUGGGGAAUAUUGCACAAUGGGGGAAACCCUGAUGCAGCGACGCCGCGUGGAGGAAGAAGGUCUUCGGAUUGUAAACUCCUGUUGUUGAGGAAGAUAAUGACGGUACUCAACAAGGAAGUGACGGCUAACUACGUG